UGGAAACUCUGCCUGGAUAAAUGC
rnacentral:piRNA from 2 species